rnacentral:rRNA from 1 species
GUGACAGCAGCCGCGGUAAUACGUAGGGGGCGAGCGUUGUUCGGAUUUACUGGGCGUAAAGAGCGCGUAGGCGGUUCGGCCAGUCGGCCGUGAAAGCCCUCGGCUCAACCGAGGAUCCGCGGCCGAUACUGCCGAACUUGAGUGCAGGAGAGGAGAGCGGAAUUCCCAGUGUAGCGGUGAAAUGCGUAGAUAUUGGGAGGAACACCGGUGGCGAAGGCGGCUCUCUGGACUGCCACUGACGCUGAGGCGCGAAAGCUAGGGGAGCAAACGGGAUUAGAAACCCCCGUAGUCC